rnacentral:rRNA from 1 species
GAUACGUAAUGUGAAUUGCAGAAUUCAGUGAAUCAUCGAAUCUUUGAACGCAUCUUGCACCUCUUGGUAUUCCGAGGGGUACACCCGUUUGAGUGUCGUG